UUCCAGACUCCUACGGGAGGCAGCAGUGGGGAAUAUUGCACAAUGGGGGGAACCCUGAUGCAGCAAUGCCGCGUGAAGGAUGAAGGUUUUCGGAUUGUAAACUUCUUUUGUACGGGACGAAGAAAGUGACGGUACCGUAAGAAUAAGCCACGGCUAACUACGUGCCAGCAGCCGCGGUAAUACGUAGGUGGCAAGCGUUAUCCGGAUUUAUUGGGUGUAAAGGGCGUGUAGGCGGGAAUGCAAGUCAGAUGUGAAAACUAUAGGCUCAACCCAUAGCCUGCAUUUGAAACUGUAUUUCUUGAGUGCUGGAGAGGCAAUCGGAAUUCCGUGUGUAGCGGUGAAAUGCGUGGAUAUACGGAGGAACACCAGUGGCGAAGGCGGAUUGCUGGACAGUAACUGACGCUGAGGCGCGAAAGCGUGGGGAGCAAACAGGAUUAGAUACCCCAGUA
rnacentral:rRNA from 1 species